GCGAAAGGGGCUUCGGCCCUGAGUAGAGUGGCGAACAGGUGAGUAACACGUGGGUGAUCUACCUUCGAGUGGGGGAUAACGUUCCGAAAGGAACGCUAAUACCGCAUGACGUUCUGGGUUUAAAGACCUGGAAACCAAAGCCGGGGACCGCAAGGCCUGGCGCUUGAAGAGGAGCCCGCGUCCGAUUAGCUAGUUGGCGGGGUAAUGGCCCACCAAGGCGACGAUCGGUAGCCGGCCUGAGAGGGCGGACGGCCACACUGGAACUGAGACACGGUCCAGACUCCUACGGGAGGCAGCAGUGGGGAAUUGUUCACAAUGGGCGCAAGCCUGAUGACGCAACGCCGCGUGGGGGAUGAAGGUCUUCGGAUUGUAAACCCCUGUCGAAUGGGACGAACGACUCGCGCUUUAAUACGGCGCGGGACUGACGGUACCGUUAAAGGAAGCCACGGCUAACUCUGUGCCAGCAGCCGCGGUAAUACAGAGGUGGCAAGCGUUGUUCGGAAUUACUGGGCGUAAAGGGCGCGUAGGCGGCCAUCUAAGUCAGACGUGAAAUCCCCCGGCUUAACCUGGGAACUGCGUCUGAUACUGGACGGCUCGAGUAUGGGAGAGGGAUGUAGAAUUCCAGGUGUAGCGGUGAAAUGCGUAGAUAUCUGGAGGAAUACCGGUUGGCGAAGGCGGCAUCCUGGACCAUUUACUGACGCUGAGGCGCGAAAGCUAGGGGAGCAAACGGGAUUAGAUACCCCGGUAGUCCUAGCCCUAAACGAUGAAUGCUUGGUGUGGCGGGUAUCGAUUCCUGCCGUGCCGAAGCUAACGCAUUAAGCAUUCCGCCUGGGGAGUACGGUCGCAAGGCUGAAACUCAAGGGAAUUGACGGGGGCCCGCACAACGGUGGAACAUGUGGU
rnacentral:rRNA from 1 species